rnacentral:rRNA from 1 species
UACGUAGGGGGCAAGCGUUGUCCGGAAUCAUUGGGCGUAAAGAGCGUGUAGGCGGCCCGGUAAGUCCGCUGUGAAAGUCCAGGGCUCAACCCUGGGAUGCCGGUGGAUACUGUCGGGCUCGAGUCCGGAAGAGGAGUGUGGAAUUCCUGGUGUAGCGGUGAAAUGCGCAGAUAUCGGGAGGAACACCAGUAGCGAAGGCGGCUCGCUGGGCCAUACCUGACGCUGAGACGCGAAAGCGUGGGGAGCAAACAGG